UUACGGCUACAUCAUGUUGAAACACCGGUUUCCAUACGAUCGCCGAAGUUAAGCAACGUCGGGCCUAGUCAGUGACCGCUUGGGAAUACUAAGAGCUGUAA